rnacentral:rRNA from 1 species
UACAGGCUUAACACAUGCAAGUCGAGGGGCAUCAGGAAGAAAGCUUGCUUUCUUUGCUGGCGACCGGCGCACGGGUGAGUAACACGUAUCCAACCUGCCCUUUACUCGGGGAUAGCCUUUCGAAAGAAAGAUUAAUACCCGAUGGCAUAAUGAUUCCGCAUGGUUUCAUUAUUAAAGGAUUCCGGUAAAGGAUGGGGAUGCGUUCCAUUAGGUUGUUGGUGAGGUAACGGCUCACCAAGCCUUCGAUGGAUAGGGGUUCUGAGAGGAAGGUCCCCCACAUUGGAACUGAGACACGGUCCAAACUCCUACGGGAGGCAGCAGUGAGGAAUAUUGGUCAAUGGGCGCUAGCCUGAACCAGCCAAGUAGCGUGAAGGAUGAAGGCUCUAUGGGUCGUAAACUUCUUUUAUAUAAGAAUAAAGUGCAGUAUGUAUACUGUUUUGUAUGUAUUAUAUGAAUAAGGAUCGGCUAACUCCGUGCCAGCAGCCGCGGUAAUACGGAGGAUCCGAGCGUUAUCCGGAUUUAUUGGGUUUAAAGGGAGCGUAGGUGGACUGGUAAGUCAGUUGUGAAAGUUUGCGGCUCAACCGUAAAAUUGCAGUUGAUACUGUCAGUCUUGAGUACAGUAGAGGUGGGCGGAAUUCGUGGUGUAGCGGUGAAAUGCUUAGAUAUCACGAAGAACUCCGAUUGCGAAGGCAGCUCACUGGACUGCAACUGACACUGAUGCUCGAAAGUGUGGGUAUCAAACAGGAUUAGAUACCCUGGUAGUCCACACAGUAAACGAUGAAUACUCGCUGUUUGCGAUAUACAGUAAGCGGCCAAGCGAAAGCAUUAAGUAUUCCACCUGGGGAGUACGCCGGCAACGGUGAAACUCAAAGGAAUUGACGGGGGCCCGCACAAGCGGAGGAACAUGUGGUUUAAUUCGAUGAUACGCGAGGAACCUUACCCGGGCUUAAAUUGCAGUGGAAUGAUGUGGAAACAUGUCAGUGAGCAAUCACCGCUGUGAAGGUGCUGCAUGGUUGUCGUCAGCUCGUGCCGUGAGGUGUCGGCUUAAGUGCCAUAACGAGCGCAACCCUUAUCUUUAGUUACUAACAGGUUAUGCUGAGGACUCUAGAGAGACUGCCGUCGUAAGAUGUGAGGAAGGUGGGGAUGACGUCAAAUCAGCACGGCCCUUACGUCCGGGGCUACACACGUGUUACAAUGGGGGGUACAGAAGGCAGCUAGCGGGUGACCGUAUGCUAAUCCCAAAAUCCUCUCUCAGUUCGGAUCGAAGUCUGCAACCCGACUUCGUGAAGCUGGAUUCGCUAGUAAUCGCGCAUCAGCCACGGCGCGGUGAAUACGUUCCCGGGCCUUGUACACGCCGCCCGUCAAGCCAUGGGAGCCGGGGGUACCUGAAGUACGUAACCGCAAGGAUCGUCCUAGGGUAAAACUGGUGACUGGGGCU